GAUGAACGCUGGCGGCGUGCCUAAUACAUGCAAGUCGAGCGAACAGACGAGGAGCUUGCUCCUCUGACGUUAGCGGCGGACGGGUGAGUAACACGUGGAUAACCUACCUAUAAGACUGGGAUAACUUCGGGAAACCGGAGCUAAUACCGGAUAAUAUAUUGAACCGCAUGGUUCAAUAGUGAAAGACGGUUUUGCUGUCACUUAUAGAUGGAUCCGCGCCGCAUUAGCUAGUUGGUAAGGUAACGGCUUACCAAGGCGACGAUGCGUAGCCGACCUGAGAGGGUGAUCGGCCACACUGGAACGGAGCCACGCUCCAGACUCCUACGGGAGGCAGCAGUAGGGAAUCUGCCGCAAUGGGCGAAAGCUUGACGGAGCAACGCCGCGUGAGUGAUGAAGGUCUUCGGAUCGUAAAACUCUGUUAUUAGGGAAGAACAAAUGUGUAAGUAACUAUGCACGUCUUGACGGUACCUAAUCAGAAAGCCACGGCUAACUACGUG
rnacentral:rRNA from 1 species